rnacentral:siRNA from 1 species
GCACUAGAUUUUAACCCGCGGUAC